UACGUAGGCAGCAAGCGUUGUUCGGAAUUACUGGGCGUAAAGAGUGUGUAGGCGGUGUUCUAAGUCUGUUGUGAAAUCUCCCGGCUUAACCGGGAGGGUGCGGCGGAAACUGGAAUGCUAGAGGAUGGGAGAGGUAAGCGGAAUUCCUGGUGUAGCGGUGAAAUGCGUAGAUAUCAGGAGGAACACCUGUGGUGUAGACAGCUCUCUGGGACGUUACUGACGCUGAGACGCGAAAGCGUGGGGAGCAAACAGG
rnacentral:rRNA from 1 species